rnacentral:rRNA from 1 species
UACGAAGGGGGCUAGCGUUGUUCGGAAUCACUGGGCGUAAAGCGCACGCAGGCGGAUUGAUAAGUCGGGGGUGAAAUCCCGGGGCUCAACCUCGGAAUUGCCUUCGAUACUGUCUGUCUUGAGUCCGGGGAGAGGUGAGUGGAAUUCCUAGUGUAGAGGUGAAAUUCGUAGAUAUUCGCAAGAACACCAGUGGCGAAGGCGGCUCACUGGCCCGAUACUGACGCUGAGGCACGAAAAGGCGUGGGGGAGCAAAACAGGG